AUGAAGGCUCUAUGGGUCGUAAACUUCUUUUAUAUAAGAAUAAAGUGCAAUGUGUAUACUGUUUUGUGUGUAUUAUAUGAAAAAAGAUCCGCUAACUCCGUGCCCGCACCCGCGGUAAUACGGAAGAUCCGAGCGUUAUCCAGAUUUAUUGGGUUUAAAGGGAGCGUAGGUGGACUGGUAAGUCAAUUGUGAAAGUUUGCGGCUCAACCGUAAAAUUGCAGUUGAUACUGUCAGUCUUGAGUACAGUAGAGGUGGGCGGAAUUUGUGGUGUAGCGGUGAAAUGCUUAGAUAUCACGAAGAACUCCGAUUGCGAAGGCAGCUCACUGGACUGCAACUGACACUGAUGCUCGAAAGUGUGGGUAUCAAACAGGAUUAGAUACCCUGGUAGUCCACACAGUAAACGAUGAAUACUCGCUGUUUGCGAUAUACAGUAAGCGGCCAAGCGAAAGCAUUAAGUAUUCCACCUGGGGAGUACGCCGGCAACGGUGAAACUCAAAGGAAUUGACGGGGGCCCGCACAAGCGGAGGAACAUGUGGUUUAAUUCGAUGAUACGCGAGGAACCUUACCCGGGCUUAAAUUGCAGUGGAAUGAUGUGGAAACAUGUCAGUGAGCAAUCACCGCUGUGAAGGUGCUGCAUGGUUGUCGUCAGCUCGUGCCGUGAGGUGUCGGCUUAAGUGCCAUAACGAGCGCAACCCUUAUCUUCAGUUACUAACAGGUCAUGCUGAGGACUCUGGAGAGACUGCCGUCGUAAGAUGUGAGGAAGGUGGGGAUGACGUCAAAUCAGCACGGCCCUUACGUCCGGGGCUACACACGUGUUACAAUGGGGGGUACAGAAGGCAGCUAGCGGGUGACCGUAUGCUAAUCCCAAAAUCCUCUCUCAGUUCGGAUCGAAGUCUGCAACCCGACUUCGUGAAGCUGGAUUCGCUAGUAAUCGCGCAUCAGCCACGGCGCGGUGAAUACGUUCCCGGGCCUUGUACACACCGCCCGUCAAGCCAUGGGAGCCGGGGGUACCUGAAGUACGUAACCGCAAGGAUCGUCCUAGGGUAAAACUGGUGACUG
rnacentral:rRNA from 1 species